CUCUCAAACCAAUUUUAUUCAUAUUCUGCUCUAACAAAUAUAGUAGGAAGGCAACAGUUGUUUAAGUUUCUUAGUGUAUGGCACAGAUGAAAAGAAACAAACAGAUUUAGAAGCAGUCCAGCAUUUAAAUGCUGGUUUAACAAAAGAGGCACGUAUUAUUCUAUUUAGCAGUUUAUACCAGAUAUCAGAAGACAUUUUUUUUCCUUGCAAGCAACAGACUACAUUUAUUUGCAUUAAGUAAAAACAUAUUUUGAUCAAGAAAAUUACUUUUUUUUUCUGAUUUUCCUUUAUAUCACAAAUGUCAGGGUAAGGCAAAUCCUUAAUGAAUCAUAUGAUAAAAACCCUAUUCCCCAAGAAAAUAUAUUGAACAUAUUCUGCUAACUUUGUUAUUUUUCAAAGCAAAGCUGACAUGCACCACAUACAGAGAAAAGUCAUUUCAAAUCAAGUGCAUCAAGCAGAACUGUAUUAAUUCACAAAGAGGCUUUUCAGUAUUUCAUAGAAAGAUUUACAAUUAGCUGCAGUGACUAAUAUGUGACCCACUAUCACAGACAGUAUUUUGGAUGCCUCCUUUGUAAGCUUUUAUGAAAGAAGUCUUGUCCAUCAUCUGAAUAGUUACUAGCUGGAGGAAAAGCCCCUUUGUCUCUCUUACGACUACCUUUCUAAUUAGGACUACAGGUUUCCCUUGCUAUGGGAAAGUAGUGUUCCUAUGAAACCUAUCCUUAAGCUGAAAUGGUGUAAAGCAAAGAAACAGUUACCAUUAGUUUAUAUGGAAAUACUUUUGAGCCUUCCCAGACCCUUUUCUAAUACCAUAGUGCACAUCUUGCUAGUGGAUACACAAAAUAAAAUGAGAUGAAGUACAGAUGCUCACAGACACAGGUCAAAGCUAAUAGCUGCUUGAGGCUGAGAUGCUGAGUCUUGUAGUUCCCAGGGGAAGAGCUUGGCGGUGCCACUCCCCCUGCUUGCAGUUUGCCUAAAAGCGAAAACCCUCUUUGGGUUUCUUUAGGUUAAUGGUAGGAGGUACGAAUGUAGGUCUUUCAUAAAAGCAAAGUGGCAAAAUGCAAUUUCAAAAAGCAAGGAUACCUGUAUUAUGUUGAGAGUCUACUUUGAUCCUCCAUAUGCAAACCUGACUAAUCUGGGACUAGUCUUCCCCCCCCUUCUCCCUCCUGUAAAUGCCUUAUGCCACAUAGCCUGUCAGAAGUGUGGCUGGAAAUUGAAAUCCAGGAUUCCUUUGCAGGAGAAUUAAUCUGCCUUUCAAAUUUUCCAUUGACAGCCUAUUCAGUGACAGCACCAGCGAAAAAGAGGGUUUCUUGUGUUGAGGUGUCUUCCUUCAGAUCUGGCCAACAGCUAGAUUUUACUAUUGAAAUGGAAAGUAACCUCAUUGCUUGCUUUAAGGAUGAAAUCUGAAAAUCAAAUAGCAACCAAAAACAUAACAAGGCAAAAAUGAAAACAAUCUAAUCAUAAAAUAAAGUUUAGACAAAUCCAGCAGUGGAGCGAUGAUAUUUACUCCUCCCUCUCUUAGUUUUGUUCUCAGAUUCCUUCCCUUUUCUGGCAGUUUUCAGGCAGAGAAAUCCCUCCUAGCACUCCUACCCCACCCACAUUUAAAAUGAAUGAAUGAAAAUGGUUGUCAUGGAUGAGUAAGAGAACACCCCACCCACAAUAAUUCCAAUCUCCACUGGUCCUAACAGGGACAUUAAGUCUCUAUCAUCUUUGCCCGUUAAGAAGUCCCCAUCCCUCUUGUCUCCUUCAUGUUGUUUUCAACUGUAACUCAUUACUGAGCAUGAACAGUAACACAUGAGAGUCACAGGAAAACGUGCUCCCAGCAGAUUGCUCUUGUCAGGUCCUUCCCAGAAUGAUGGCAACUUUCAAUUAAGUCAUAAAGAUGAUAUGACAUAUAGAAACUAUCAGUAUUUGUAUGGCAUCAUUUCUUGGAUCACUUAAAAUGGGUCUUCUUGUUUUUCUAGAAAGCAAUGUCUAAUGGCAGUAGGGGACAUAUAAAUUUCUGUACCAAACUCUAGAAUAAUGGCAGAAGGAAAAAGGGCCAUGUUCCAAAAUCAUGAGGUCCCUUAAAAAUCAUUGCUGUUAGGUUGGUAAGCAGUUUUUUUUUUUUUUUAAAUAUAGGAUGUGAGAACAUAUUACAUAUGCAGAAAUAUAGCUUGCUAAUGAUUCCAAUAUACCAAAUAAGUCAUCCAGAGGGGCAACAAAUUCAGAAAGGCCAGAGCAAAAUUCACAGAUAAGGAAGUGAAUUUUCCAUAGAGGAAAGAGCAAAACUGAAGAACUCCAUGGAAUAUUUAGAAAUCAGAACUCCCCCCCUUUUUUUUUAGAAAUACUCAAUUUGAUCCAUUACUUUUCUCUCUCCACUAAAAAUAUAUAUAAAUAUAUAAAUAAUUUACAGUUCUAGAGACCUCAUAAGGAAGGUGGAUUUAAGAAGCUAUGCAAGAAACGAUAUCAGUUUCCCCUAGAAAAAAAAGACUGUUCUGAGAACCCAGGGAAGCUGUGGAAAGCAGGCAUUUUGCCUUGUGAGGGUCGCUGUUGAUGUUGUCUCUGGGACAGACAUUUGUGACAAGUUCUGACUUUCUCCUUGGCUCCUUAUCCCUUGGGCCCACCAUACCACAGGAGUCUUGACUUAAUGCUGCUGCUCCCCUUCAGAGCCAUAAUCAAGGGACCUCUGGGUGGAAGAGAGGAUGAGCCACCAAAGCAGUUUGGUAUUUGGCAUGAGCAAACCAGAUAUUUAAAAGCAAACCAGAACUGCAAGCAAGACCUCCAGUUGCCUAUAACUUCAAAUGAAAAUCUUUCUGUAGGCCAUCAAACCUUGGGUAAAGACAAGAGAUUCUUUUAUGAAAAGCAUAUAUAUAACGAGAGCUUUCAAGUAGAACUUUUAAUAUUCAUAGGCAUAUGUUUGGAUUCUAAAUGCAGCAGCCCCCUCUUUUAACUAAAACACCUCGAGAAGUGUCAUCCUUUACAACUGUGUUGUACAGAGUCACAUCUCUCUAGUGGACUAGAUGCCAAAGCACAGGAUAAGGAUCUCAGGAACCAGGUGAGCUCUGCUGGAGGUCGGGGUCAAAGAAUGCAUCUGUAGUCCUGGCUGUGAAGGAAAAGCCCCCAAUGGCUGCCAGGGCCUGCCUUCCUUGUAGUGCCUCUACGCUU
rnacentral:lncRNA from 1 species